GGUCCUGUCUCAGUCAUUCUCAACCCUGGCUGUGCAUGAGAAUCACCUGGGGUGCUUUUAAUAAGUAUACUAAUGCCAGGCCCCUUCCCAGUGAUUCUGGUUUCCCUGGCCUGGAUUGGGGGUACGAGCGUUGGUAUUUUUUCAAUUCCCUAAGUUACUUUCCCGGCAGCCAGAGUUAAACACCAUCAAUGUAGACUCUCCAGAUAUUAACCUGCUGCCUUCUUAUGUUCUCCUGCUUGGCAAGUUUAUAGAUGUUCACAUUUUUGACAAUAAAAUCUAAGCAUGGGUUGCAGAGAGUUUGAGGUAUGUACUCAGAUACUGGACUGUCUGGGUUUAAGUCCUGCUUUCGUCCUUUGUAAGCUAUCUCACCUUGAGCAAGUCACCUUCUCUCUCACUGCCUCGAGUUUCUCUGCUGUAAACUGAGAUUAAUUUAUAGUGUGCACCUCAUGUCUUUGUUAGAAAGAUUCAAUUGACUGGUAUUGAUGAAGCUUAUACAACAAUGCCUAGUACACUGUAAGCAUUAGACAGGUGUAGGCAGUUUUUUCCUUUAUCGUUUCUUUUGUUAGUUUUAGUCUAAGAAAGUAUUUUCCUUCCCUAAGAUCAGGUAAGUAUCGGCGUGUAUUCUCCCCCGAGUUGCGUGUUUUAUUUUUUUCUUAUCGAUUUCAUUGCCUCUGAAGUCUGUAUUUCUCUCAGUCCUGGGAUGAAGUUGAUGUAGAAGAACAAGCCAAUCCACUGGGGCCCCAAGGAGCUGAUGUUCAAUUUCUCUAACCCUGCGUUCCACCUCGACCACUUAUUCCUGAUUUCAGGAGGCCAACCAAAUUUGGUUUGGGGUGUUGUUGCUUAACUUUCAACACCCAUGUAAAAUGACUCUGAUAUGUACUUUGUCAUAUGUUUUAAACUUGUUCCUCUGCUUAACUUGGGCCUUAUCAACUCAUAUUUGUCUGCACACCUCUCUGGAUCUCAAAGGCAGACCAACUGUCAAGAGGCUACAAAUUACUUUCCCAAUACCUGAUGAUGACAGAUUCAACAUACCUCUGCAAAAAUCAAAGGGAGAGAAUAUUAUGGCAGGCACAUGAGCACAAACUGAUGCAAAACGACCAUCAUUGCAAAGUAUUUUACUUCCAUGGUAUCCAGAAAAGGUAUGAAGAUGAGAAGUUUGAUCAUGAGAUUUUGAAAUGAGCCUCAAGAAUGGUAUGAGAAAGCACAUCUUGGUAGCUUUUGUUCUUUCCCUGAUGAUCACCUCCUGCUCACACAGCCACUUCUUCCUUCAAUUCUCCCAGAUGUUGGAAGUCAACCUCAUUGUUUUGGUUCAUGAAUUAUAUUAUGCAAUAAGUUAAAUGAAAGGAGUUGAAUUGCAACAAAAACAACCGUAAAAUUUUUAUGAAUUUCACUUUAGGGAAGAGUAUAAACAUCUUCUUUGUUUUUAACUUAUCAAUUUUCCAUCAGCUUUUUAGGAGCAGCCUUUCCAGCUUGCUUUUAGGAAUGAUAGCAUCAGCAAACACAGGAGAAAGAGGCUGUAUGGGCCAGCAGCUGUAAGACGCCAGGAUAUUGGAAGCUUCAGAUGAUUGACUUGAUGAGACCUUCAUAUUGAAGAUAAAAACAAGGAAACUUUGAGUUAUCAUAGCCCAUUGUUUUCAGAAGAGUUUGUGUUUCUCAUGGGCAAAGGAGAGAAUCCAGAGUGAGAAGCUGAAGAAAGUGGGAAGUGCUAGAUUGGCGUGAUUUCAAAAGUUGUCCUUGAUGCUGUGACGUAUCCUACAAUUGUUUAAAUGGAACGCAUUUUGAAAAUCUCGUUUCUUCAUACCAGUCUGCAGGAAAAAUGACAUCAUUUGAAUGAAAGAGUGAAUAUUAGAGGAAGGCCUGGCUUUGGAAGAAUCCAGUCUGAUAAAGAAGAUGAGUGUGGACACAACUAUGACAGAACCAAACUGAGCACACUCAUAGACACAGAAACACGUGCACACACAGUCUAGAGACGCACAGCUCUGCAAGUGUUAAUUGCCACCUUUCAAGUAAAGAAAGUAAUGUCACACUCAUGAUGGAACAAUGUCUGUCCGGGAGACUCUUCCGGAGCUAACAGAGGGCAUGAAUACGAGCAGCUUGCAUAGCUAAGGCCAGGAGGAUUCCAGCAGGCAGCCAUUGCUUUGGGAGCUUUUGCCUGAGGAAGUUGUUCAGAGCUGGAAAACAGAAGCUGCUUCUCCUCCAAACUCUGGUUUUCAUUUGCAGAAGUGAUCCUACAUUACAUUUGGCCAUCACGUCUCCCUGGACUCUUCUUGGCUGCGACACUUUCUCAGACUUCCCUUGUUUUGAUCCCCUUGACAAUUUGAGGAGGACUGGCUAAGUAUUUUUUAGGAUGUCUCUGUAUUAAAAAUUGUCUAAUGUUUUUCUCGUGAUUGAACUGGAGUUUCAAUAAUAUAUUCAAAACAAUCCUUCUCACAUCCUGCCCUUCAAAAAAAAAAAAAAUUCAUACCCUCAAACAUAACAAAAUCCCCCAGCCUCAACUCAGGAUGAUGUUAUGUAUCUUGUAAUUCAUUGACAAAUUUGCAAAAUGACACUAAAUACUGCAGGCUGCAGGCCUUUCCAUUAGUAACCUCACCCUAGGUACAAAUAAACAUCAUUUAAUGGAAUUUCCAUCAAUGGAGGAGGCUGAUCUUUGGCCUCCUGGGUUACAGGACGCUCUUGUUAGUUCCCUCCAGCACCUCCUCCACAUGCUGAAUUUUAAUGGGGCUGGGAAACCUGUGGGUUAGAAGUGUAUUGGUGUUAUUUCCUGUUUCCACUUCAGUAAGCCUCCCAACUUUCUGAUUUGACAUGAAUUUCGGGAGGGAAUGCAAUGUACACAACGGGAAACAAACACCUAAUUUUUUUCUUCUUUAAUAUGGCAACUUUUAAAAGACAGUGCAACUUUAAAAAUAGCAAAUAUUAUCACAUUGUGAGGAAGGGAAGUUUUUAUAAUGUACUAAGAGGUCCAAGUCACAUGAUGCUUACUGCCUAGUUUUUGUAAGCACUUUAUAAAUGCUGAGUGCUGGUGUUCACAUGCCUAAUGCCUACCCUUUACCAGGCGAGAUCAAACUCUUGUCUCUACUCCACGUGUUUCUCAUGUCCUUUGAAUACUCCACAUUUUAUAACUGAAAUCUAGGACAACCCUUUGAGUUGAGAAAGAAAAAUUAAUUUUUUUUUUGUUUAACAUAAAAUAAACAUAGGUGAUUUCUUUCUUUUGUCAUUACCCAGAUAGGCUAGGUUCUGAGACCUAGUUGCAUCUUAGCAGGAGGCCAGUGGGGAGGAAUCUGGGGAUGGAUAGAAAACUUGCAGAGCUCAUUCCCGAAGGAGAGUGUCCAUCACAUAACUCCUGUUGUCACCAAGAAAGUGGGACCAGGUCAGCCCUAAUUCAGAGAUGGUUCUAAGUGACCCACCAGAUGUUUGUGUUGGACUGACCAGUUUAUGCUGUUCUCUGCAGGUGUGUGAUACGGUCCAGGUUGGGGAAGGAGCAUUGUAAGAAUUCCACUGGGUAUAAAACCCAAUACCAAGCAGUAGGGAUUUGGGGAAAAAGUCUAAAACCAGUAUUAGAACUUAAGCACACAUCAGAGCACUUCAGCAUUAAUCCAGACCCUGGAGUAAAGCAGUCAGUGGCGGGAUUGGUUAUAAACUGACCACACGCUGGGCUUCCGAGACGCCUCUGUGUGGUUUUGAGCAGCAAGACAGAUUCCAGAUUGCUGACUUUUUCAUAUUUAUUGUAAAUAUUUUCCUGGUUUGUUAUUAUCUUGAUAUUUUGAUUCACACACAUAUCAAUUUUGAGUUAAUCUCAUUGUAUGAUGUUCAAUUUUUUUUUCUGAGCUUAUUGGUUUGGAAAGAUCUACUCCACCAAUAAGCCAAAUCAUUCAUUUAUAGUUUACAUUAGUUUUUUUCUACACUUAAUUAUUUUAGUCAUCUGAAAUUUAAUUUUAAUGUAUGCCACAAGGUGAGAAUCUAGAUAUAUUCUCUAUCCUUAGGUAAUUAAUCACUCCCCUGCACCAACCAUUAAAGAAAGAUUUUAGUUAAAAAGUAACUUGUCUCGCCUACCUUUGCAUCAUAAAUGCCUACAUCUAAUAUUGUGUCUGAUCUAUAGCAGUUGCUCAAUUAAACAUUUGUUGAGUAAAUGUAUGCUUAUUGAACCUGUUGCCUGUCCCUGGCAUCUAACAUGGUGGAAAAUUCAUCUGAAAUGACAGAAAUUCUUGGGUAAUGACAAAUCCCCGAGGAUUCCUGUGUCACAGCUAACUAACUGAUAUGUAUGUGCAAUUGUUUCUUUUGGAGAUGGAGCUAUAAAUCAAAAGAGCGUAAUGAUUAUGCUUAGUUAGGAAAGAAAAAACUACAUUCUAAACAGUAGUCAGAUGCUAGGAAUUAAUGCCUACCAUCAAAGUCUCACAGGCUGCUUCCAAGUGAGACAAGCUUCUCAAAGUCAUGACACCUGGGGUCUGUGGAUCCCUGCCCUGCCACAUUGCCGUCCUCCGGCAUGGCUUCCACCUGUCCCUCCCUGGCCAGCUUGCCUUGGCAGCUGUACUGAGGGAGAUGUGUUUCUACCAUUCUUUCCCUCUAAUAACACUUACUGAUUACCUAUGGUUGUUCUCUGUUUUUGGAAUAAAAACAUUUUUAUACUUUACGUUUAAGGCAGUGUUGUAGAUAUAGCCUGUAAGAGUAAGAUAAAUUCUCUAUUCACCACCUGUGACUUGGUUUCCCUAAGCCACAGUUUACUUAUCAGCAAAAUGGAAGGUAAUACCAGCUAACAUUUCUGUACCAUCUAUUCUGUGCCUGGCACUGCUCACAGUGCCACAUACCUAUUAAAUUAUUUAGUACGCAUUAACUCUUUGAAGUAAGCACCAUUUUUAGACCCAUUUACAGACAACAAAAUGGAGGCAUGAUGAAGUAAUUGCCUUGCCUAAGGGUUAGAAUCCAGGCCCUCUGGCUCUGAAGUCCCUGCUCCUAGCCACGGUAUUAAGAUGUCUCCGAGGCAUCAUAACUAGCAGCCACCUCAGAGAGUUGAUGUGACAUUGAGACACCAUAUGCAGGAUACCCGGUGAGCAUUUGAUGCGUGUUUACUCUGUAACAGGAAACAGGCCCCGGCUCACUGAUCUUACCUUCCAUAGGGAAAACAGAUGCUCACACAGUCACUUUCAGCAAAGAGACAAAGGUGAUAGGAGAAGAGACAAAGGUGAUAGGAGAGGAAGAAGUCCAGGAGGCUGGAGACCACAUGACAGGGUCCCCAAUCAGAACUGGGGGAAAGGAAAGGCUUCUCAGAGGGAAUAUUAGUUGUAUUAAAGCCAAAUUAAAGCAUGUUCCUUUUCCUGUGAAAAUCUCAGGGGUUUAUUUCCCUCCACAGGACCUGUUUGUUUUGCUUCCCCUUCCUCCAUUCUCUUCACCUACUCUCUGCCCUUCACCUUUUUCAGAAUUCUUGGGGAAACAGGAUGUGCCCAAGCAAUCCAAUCGUGUAUAUGCAUUCCACAAACACUGGUGGGUUGGGGAAGCACCACAAGAGAUAUUAGUUGAGUUACACCCACAUGCUGUAAGCUGAGGAAGAGACGAUUGAAGCGGAAAAGGAUUAAACGUUUUCAGGGACAUUCAGAAUGUCACAUUUUACAAGAUGUUUACUUAGUUACCUCUAGUAUUAGCCUGGAUGGGUCUCACGAUUUUUUUUCCAAAAGCAGCUGAAUCUGAGCAUGGUUCCUCAAGUUAUAUGAAUUCUGAGUAAAUGUGUGCACACACAUCUGAAAUGAUACCCCUUUGGCUUACUCAUAAUGUGUGUUGAAUGUAAUAUACUGAGAGACCUUUGGGGUCAUUUAGUUCAACUUCCAACUCAUAAAGACUUUCCUUUUAGCAGAAAGGCAAUUUAUCUAGUUUAUCCAUUUUCUCUUAAAUAAUUGCAGUGAUGUGAAUCUCGCCAUGCCUCAACACAGCCAUUUUGAUGGUUGUAUAGCUAUAAUUCUGAAAGUCUUGACUUACAUUGACCUAAGUCUGUUGACCUUUGUUCUGUCCUCUGCAGGGAGACAGACACAAAAACAAGCAAACAUGUUUUUCUUGUAAAUUCAGACAACUUCCUGGUUUCUCUUUGUUCUUUGGAUGAAAUAAUGUCAGUUGUUGAAGGUCUUAUUCAUAUUCCAGCGGGCAAGCUCUUCUAAGUACGUUACCUAAACAUUUAUUUUUACAUAUUAAUCCAUUCGUUUAUUUUAAGAAUGUUGUUGCCAAGAAACUUUUGAAUAAUCUGAGAAAAUUGAGCAUAUGAUACUACAAAUUACUUUUAAAAACAGAACCACCCAAUAACAGCUAAGAAUAAAACAAAACAUAUCUAUGAGAAAUGUAUUUUUAACUAUUGCUUUAUAAAUUGUGUUUAUUUCAACUUACUCGGUGUAAAGAUGAUACCCUAGAACAUGACAAUAAUUUAAGCAAUAAGAUCAAAUAUGACUUCACUAAUAGGAUUCAAGAGGAAUCUCUUAUAAACAUACUUCCUUUUCGAAUGCACCUGUUUGCUUUCAAACUCGUUUUUUAAACAAUAGGAAUAACAAUGGUAGAUACAAAAUAACACUUAAGGUUUAUUAUAAUUUUUAUGUUAUCUUUUUAGAUUAAGAUACGCUUUUUUAACUGGCAGAUACAUUUAAUAAUCUUUUGUAAGAAGGUUGUUUUCAUAUUCCAUAUAAUACAUUUUCAUAUUAACAUUUCAAAUUAGGAAAGGAAAAUAAAAAAGUUGCCAUUAGAAAUAAAAUCUGUCUUUUAGAAAUAUGAAAAAUCACAUAAAAACACUUUGUUGUGUUUAAGACAAUUCUGAUUUAACAUUUUGGCAGUAACAUUCUCUCCCCUUUCAUACCUACCUAUUCACCAAAAGGCCGUGCUAUUACUUUUAUUUGGUCUUAGUUAUUUUGUUUUGGGAUUUUUCCAUUCAUUCAGGUGUAAUGCAUGGCAUAGUUUAUGAUUUAUGUGACAGAGGCUCAGAUUUAAUCCAUGGGGAUUUUCAUAUAAGGGUGUGCUCAGUGACAUGUUUGAAGUUAUGCUAUGGAAUUCAAAUAACAUGGUUAGUUCUCAGAAAUAUUAAUUUGAUUUUAAUAUCCUGCCUCCCCACCCCAGGUUAUGUUUGGUUUCUUACCUUAGGAAAAUCCUAAGUGAAUUUAAUUAACUCAUAUUUUGAAAGUUUGUACAUUUAGCUUUGCAAGGCAGAGAUUUUGCAAAUAUGCGAAGCAAAGCCGUACACUUACAUUUAAUCAUUUUCCUAUAAUCUCAUUGAUCUGACUUUAUAUUUCAGUUAUAAUAAUGCAGAAUAUACAAUUUUAAAACAAAUUAAUAUUUCCAAGCACUAUAUUUACCUGUGAUGAUGAAUCCACUGUGUUGUUUUUAUCUUUUAACUUUUGGGAUAUUAAAAUAGCAUUUCUUCUCUGCUUCAUAAAGUAAUUAUUGUAGCAUCUGUUGAAAAUACAUUUUGGCUCUCAGGGACUUUUCAGUCUUAGGACAAAUUCUGUGCUUUCUUAAGUAUCUGUAUUGUUAUGCUCCUUUUGUUUUGUUGUUUGAGAGGAAAAUGAAGAUCUGUGACAUCAUUUAUUCUGGAAACAAGCACAAGUGUGUUUAACAAGAAAAAUCAAGGAUGUAACUUUUGUCCCACUGGUUUGAAAAUCCAAAAUCUUCUUUGCAAAUAGAGUCAUUCAUUGGGUACAACUGGAUCAAAAGUAACAAGUUUUUGUCUGAGUCUUUAGCCUAAAACCUCUCCUACCCUCUUCCAGAUUAACUCUGUUGUGCCUGGAUUAACCUCUAAGAAUCCUGGUAUUGUUUCUCUUCAUUACACUUAUCCCCAUGUCUCCUAUUGUCUUUGCUUUUCAUUAGGGGGAAUAAACAGUAGACGGUUUAAGCCAUGAUAAACUUCUCCAGCUUGGAGUAUCUAUUUGAGCUUCAUAUUUGACACUUGUUUCCCCUUUCAAUGUAAACAUUCAUUUUGAAUCCAAUAACCUUGUCAAUGGAAAUUGUGAAUGCUAAGGGCUGGGCAGGCCGUGUGAGCAAAUACCAGUGAAGUCUCAUUAGUUGUACGGAACCUAGGACCAGAUAUGACAGUUCUGGACCUGAAUUAAUGCUCCUUUGACCCAUUUUGCUGUAAACAUAAGAAAGAGUCUAGCAUUUGGGACCCAUAUCCAUUUUAAUAGAAUUAAAACAAGAACAGUACGUCCCUAGAGCUUGUCAACAACAGAGUUAUUCAUAAUACACUAUUCUUUCACUUUAUAUCAAAUCUUUUUAACAGAUUGGAAUAUUACAUGCAUUUAACAUAAAUUUGUUGGCAGGGAAAUGGACUAAAAGAGACAAACAGAACUGUAUGCUGACUGUGGAUAGAAAAACAUUUUAUUCUGAUCUCCAGUUAUUGUUUCAAUUAAGACAGCUUUUUUGACCUUGUCCCAGUGGAAAUUUGACAUUGAUUAGAAAGGCCAUGACCAUAAACCUCUGAACUAAAUUCUGGGGAAGGAUGAGUGAUACUAUUUUUCUCUGAAAUGGCAUGAAAAAAAUCAAUGGUGGUAGCAUUCGACGGUGUCACAAUUUGAUUUACUAGCUGACCUCCUGGCCAAUCAAUGACUGUUUAAAAUCCAAGAACGCUUCAUUGGCUUCAUCACACAAGCUUUGUUCUCCUAUUUACAAUGUGAAUUUAAUCCUGGCAUGAGUUUAGAACCCCCAAACACUAGUCACUCUAAGUAAAAAUAUUUACAAAACUGGAAUCUUGAGAUCUGGAUUAUCAACAAUUUUUCAUUUUUUAGGAACUUCUAUUCCAUUCUUUCGAUAACAGUGCAGACCACUUAGAGCUUUUACUUCACCUCUCUGAAAAUGAUUCUCAAAUGCAAAUCUAUAGUCAGGUUCAAAAGGUAAGGACUCAGGUGGUUUUCUAGGAAGGAAAGAGACUUGUUCUUCUCACUGUUAUUUGUACUAACUGGUAAUCCAAAAAGAAAGGAAUGUUCCUAUGUUCUUUUCCCCAAUAUAUAAAUUUUGACCUUGUCACUUUUAUUUUAAAGAAAUUCAGUGUUUGGGGCGAGGGUUAGAACCAGCUACAUAAUUUGUGGGGCCCAGUGCCAUUUGCUCAAAAAAUUUUAAGGAUUUCAAGAUAGCAACAGCAGAACCAAGCCCAGGGCCCUUCUAAAGGUGGAAACUCUUUGUGACAACCCAGAUCAAGGGCUCAUGAAGCCAGCCCUGGCAGGGGCAAAAUCCUAGUGUUAUUCAGUGGUAUUUGCUUAGGGGGUUGAUGAAUGCCUGGUCCUACCUCAAAUCCUCAUGACUUCUCCUUAGGGGACUCCUGAGGGAGUUACAGACCUAAGGAGACAAUGGGAGAGAAAUAAAUUGAGUAUACAUUCGAUUAUUAGCUGUACUUGUACACAAAAUCUGCAGAGCACUUUAGCAAGCAUGGCUGGAGAAUGGUGCCCGACCUAAAGCCACAAAUAUCCUCUUCACUACACUGAGCCCAAACUCAGUUUUGGGGUCUCCUGGCUCUGUUUCAGGCUUACCUACUGUGAGGGUGGAGAGGAUGAAAGGGUCCAGACAGCAGAAACAGCAUAGGGAGCACGCGGGCAGACCUGAGGCUUGGGAAGCAUCCCUGGUCGAACAGAAGCAAGAAGGAAAAAGGAUGCGUAUCUAUAAGUGUGAUGUCUGCACACACAGCAGCCUCACCCGUGACGUGACGGGUCAUGAAAUGAAUUGACCUGCUAGAUCACUGUCUAGCACAGAAUUACUGAGAAUCUGCCAUGUGGAAGAAAGUGCCCAGGAACUGGAAAUCCAGCACUGAACGGAAAGACAUCCCUCAUGGAGCCUGCAUUUUAGGAGCUGAAAAAUGGAAGCAAUUUGCUGGAGCCAUUCCUAAAGCUCUCCCACCCGGCACCUUGACUUUUAUAAUUGCUGUGAUAUUUCACCCGAGCCAGCCGAAAUGAGCGGAAACGGCACUUUGCUGGGCACAGAGGAUAAAGCAGAAAUGAGAAAGAGGAGCCUCUUGCUUUCAGGGAGCUCAGAGUCCGAAAGAGGAAACAGCCACAUAAACAAAUGGUGUUUUGCUUUAGCAUGAACUUCUAAGACCUGCCCUCACAUUCCUCCAUUUCCAGUUAAUAAAGCGGUGAGCAUUUCCAAAACAAAGCAAAGAGACCACGUGACUUAUGUAAUGUAGUGGGACACAUUUAUUAUGUAGAUUAUAUUGAGGGAUUUCAGUAGGUAAUAGAAAGUGCAUAGAAUUGGAAAUAAAAAAAAAUUUGAUUUCAGGCUUGUCUUGUUCAUUUCCUGGCUGUGUGGUCUGAGGUGUUUACUAACCCCUCUGAUUUUCAGUUUCUUCAUUUCUAAGGAAGAAUGGCAAUGGCUACAUUUUAGAUUUAUUAUGAGGAUUAAAUGACAUAUUAUAUAUAAAAUGCAUGGAGUGCAGUAGAAACAUAGCGAAUGGCACAUAUCUCUUGAAGAGAGGAAACUCAGACAGCAUAUUAAAUCCAGUAUAGAGACAUGACAAAUAUCAUUUUCAAAGCUUUUGUCAGGAAUAGCUUAAAAAGUUAGAUCUUUCUAGGACAAUAUCCUAAAAGAGUACUGAAAACACAUUGGUUGAUUUGCGGGCAUUGCUUCUAAUCUAGCAGAUUUGCAACUUGAUUAUUUUUCACUGGAGGCAUUAAAAGCAAUUUAUUUUUCAGCAAAAGGUCUAUUUACCAAAAGAGGAGAAGAAUAAAAAGGAGGAAAAUGAAAGAAUAGUAACAAUGAUACUCUCAAUGAGAUAAGUCACAUAAAAAUAUGAAGGUAUCUAUAUCGACUGAUGCGUUGAGAGAGACAGAAAUGGCAAGUGAAAAUCUUUUAAUGAAGAGGCUCUUUAGCAAAUGUAUUUUUAUAGCUUGUAUUUUUAUCUCAAGAUUUUCCUUCCAGCAACAUCUAUAUGAAAAGAGAAUUGCCACCGAUUUCUUUAAUUUGAUUCAAUUUUAGGAUAAAAAAAUCUACAAACAAAAUAUCAUUCUGAGAGUGAGAGGUGGCUCAUUCGGAGAAGAAAUAUUAAUGAUAUUAUUUUGAUACUGACCAGUGUUUCUCAGGAUACUGCUUUAUUACUAUUUUUAAGGUAUUUUUUCUACCAAAAUGGAAAUAUCUUAUUUGUUGAU